rnacentral:rRNA from 1 species
UACGUAGGGGCCUAGCGUUGUCCGGAUUUAUUGGGCGUAAAGAGCUCGUAGGCGGUUUGGUAAGUCGGGUGUGAAAUCUCCACGCUCAACGUGGAGGGGCCACCCGAUACUGCCAUGACUGGAGUCCGGUAGGGGAGUGUGGAAUUCCCGGUGUAGCGGUGAAAUGCGCAGAUAUCAGGAAGAACACCUAUGGCGAAGGCAGCUCUCUGGGACGGUACUGACGCUGAGACGCGAAAGCGUGGGGAGCAAACAGG